GAUGAACGCUGGCGGCGUGCCUAAUACAUGCAAGUCGAGCGAACGGACGAGAAGCUUGCUUCUCUGAUGUUAGCGGCGGACGGGUGAGUAACACGUGGAUAACCUACCUAUAAGACUGGGAUAACUUCGGGAAACCGGAGCUAAUACCGGAUAAUAUUUUGAACCGCAUGGUUCAAAAGUGAAAGACGGUCUUGCUGUCACUUAUAGAUGGAUCCGCGCUGCAUUAGCUAGUUGGUAAGGUAACGGCUUACCAAGGCAACGAUGCAUAGCCGACCUGAGAGGGUGAUAGGCCACACUGGAACUGAGACACGGUCCAGACUCCUACGGGAGGCAGCAGUAGGGAAUCUUACGCAAUGGGCGAAAGCCUGACGGAGCAACGCCGCGUGAGUGAUGAAGGUCUUCGGAUCGUAAAACUCUGUUAUUAGGGAAGAACAUAUGUGUAAGUAACUGUGCACAUCUUGACGGUACCUAAUCAGAAAGCCACGGCUAACUACGUG
rnacentral:rRNA from 1 species